rnacentral:rRNA from 1 species
GGACUACUGGGGUAUCUAAUCCUGUUUGAUCCCCGCACUUUCGUGCCUCAGCGUCAGUUACAGUUUUGUGAGCUGCCUUCGCAAUCGGUGUUCUAUGACAUCUCUAUGUAUUUCACCACUACAUGUCAUAUUCCGCCCACAGCAUCUGUACUCAAGCCCAGCAGUAUCAAUGGCAGUUCUGUUGUUAAGCAACAGGCUUUCACCACUGACUUACCGGGCCGCCUACGCACCCUUUAAACCCAAUGAAUCCGGAUAACGCUUGCAUCCUUCGUCUUACCGCGGCUGCUGGCAC